rnacentral:rRNA from 1 species
AUUGAACGCUGGCGGCAUGCCUUACACAUGCAAGUCGAACGGUAACAGGUCUUCGGAUGCUGACGAGUGGCGAACGGGUGAGUAAUACAUCGGAACGUGCCUAGUAGUGGGGGAUAACUACUCGAAAGAGUGGCUAAUACCGCCUGAGAUCUACGGAUGAAAGUAGGGGAUCGCAAGACCUUGUGCUACUAGAGCGGCCGAUGGCAGAUUAGGUAGUUGGUGGGAUAAAAGCUUACCAAGCCGACGAUCUGUAGCUGGUCUGAGAGGACGACCAGCAACACUGGGACUGAGACACGGUACAGACUCCUACGGGAGGCAGCAGUGGGGAAUUUUGGACAAUGGGCGAAAGCCUGAUCCAGCCAUGCCGCGUGCAGGAUGAAGGCCUUCGGGUUGUAAACUGCUUUUGUACGGAACGAAAAGACUCUUUCUAAUAAAGAGGGUCCAUGACGGUACCGUAAGAAUAAGCACCGGCUAACUACGUGCCAGCAGCCGCCGUAACAC